rnacentral:rRNA from 1 species
AGUGAACGCUGGCGGUAGGCCUAACACAUGCAAGUCGAACGGCAGCACAGUAAGAGCUUGCUCUUACGGGUGGCGAGUGGCGGACGGGUGAGGAAUACAUCGGAAUCUACUUUUUCGUGGGGGAUAACGUAGGGAAACUUACGCUAAUACCGCAUACGACCUACGGGUGAAAGCAGGGGAUCUUCGGACCUUGCGCGAUUGAAUGAGCCGAUGUCGGAUUAGCUAGUUGGCGGGGUAAAGGCCCACCAAGGCGACGAUCCGUAGCUGGUCUGAGAGGAUGAUCAGCCACACUGGAACAGAGACACGGUCCAGACUCCUACGGGAGGCAGCAGUGGGGAAUAUUGGACAAAGGGGGCAAGCCUGCUCCAGCCAUACCGCGUGGGUGAAGAAGGCCUUCGGGUUGUAAAGCCCUUUUGUUGGGAAAGAAAAGAAGCAGGUUAAUACCCAGCGGUUCUGACGGUACCCAAAGAAUAAGCACCGGCUAACUUCGUG